rnacentral:rRNA from 1 species
GACAGAGGUGGCAAGCGUUGUUCGGAUUCAUUGGGUGUAAAGGGUUCGUAGGUGGUCGAAUAAGUCUGACGUGAAAUCCCAUGGCUCAACCGUGGAACUGCGUUGGAAACUGUACGACUUGAGUACCGCAGAGGUAAAGGGAAUUCCCGGUGUAAGGGUGAAAUCUGUAGAUAUCGGGAGGAACACCAGUGGCGAAGGCGCUUUACUGGGCGGUAACUGACACUGAGGAACGAAAGCAAGGGGAGCAAACAGG